rnacentral:rRNA from 1 species
AGAUAGAGGCGUGCUCGAAAGAGAGCCGUAACACAGGUGCUGCAUGGCUGUCGUCAGCUCGUGUCGUGAGAUGUUGGGUUAAGUCCCGCAACGAGCGCAACCCUUGUCAUUAGUUGCUACAUUCAGUUGGGCACUCUAAUGAGACUGCCGGUGACAAGCCGGAGGAAGGUGGGGAUGACGUCAAGUCCUCAUGGCCCUUAUAGGUGGGGCUACACACGUCAUACAAUGGCCGGUACAAAGGGCAGCCAACCCGCGAGGGGGAGCCAAUCCCGUAAAGCCGGUCGUAGUCCGGAUCGCAGUCUGCAACUCGACUGCGUGAAGUCGGAAUCGCUAGUAAUCGUGGAUCAGCAUGUCACGGUGAAUACGUUCCCGGGUCUU